GCCGGCGUGGUGGAACUGGUAGACGCAGCGGACUCAAAAUCCGCCGGGGGCAACUCCAUGUCGGUUCGAUUCCGACCGCCGGCACCA
rnacentral:tRNA from 3 species